rnacentral:rRNA from 1 species
AUUGAACGCUGGCGGCAGGCCUAACACAUGCAAGUCGAACGAGUGGGGGACGGGUGAGUAAUGUCUGGGAAAAUGCCUGAUGGAGGGGGAUAACAAAUGGGAACGGUAGCUAAUACCCCAUACCAUCAUAUGUGCCCAGAUGGGUUUAGCUAGUUGGUGGGGUAACGUCGCACCAAGGCGACGAUCCCUAGCUGGUCUGAGAGGAUGACCAGCCACGCUGGAACUGGGACACGGUCCAGACUCCUACGGGAGGCAGCAGUGGUGAAUAUUGAACAAUGGGCGCAAGGCUGAUGCAGCCAUGCCGCGUGUAUGAAGAAGGCCUUCGGGUUGUAAAGUACUUUCAGCGGGGAGGCGUUACCCGCAGAAGAAGCACCGGCUAACUCCGUGCCAGCCGCCGCGGUAAUAC